rnacentral:rRNA from 1 species
AGAAUCAACGCUGGCGGCGUGCCUAACACAUGCAAGUCGCACGAGAAAGGAGAGCAAUCUCUGAGUAAAGUGGCGCACGGGUGAGUAACACGUGAAUUAUCUACCUCCGAGUGGGGAAUAACCUAGAGAAAUCUGGGCUAAUACCGCAUAACACUUACGAGUCAAAGCAGCAAUGUGCUUGGAGAGGAGUUCGCGGCCGAUUAGCUAGUUGGCGGGGUAAUGGCCCACCAAGGCGAUGAUCGGUAUCCGGCCUGAGAGGGCGCACGGACACACUGGAACUGAAACACGGUCCAGACUCCUACGGGAGGCAGCAGUGGGGAAUUUUGCGCAAUGGGGGAAACCCUGACGCAGCAACGCCGCGUGGAGGAUGAAGUAUCUUGGUACGUAAACUCCUUUCGAUGGGGAAGAUAAUGACGGUACCCAUAGAAGAAGCCCGGCUAACUUCGUGCCAGCAGCCGC